rnacentral:rRNA from 1 species
UACGUAGGUGGCAAGCGUUGUCCGGAUUUACUGGGCGUAAAGAGCGCGCAGGCGGUCGUUCAAGUCGCGUGUGAAAGCCCCCGGCUCAACUGGGGAGGGUCACGCGAUACUGAUCGACUGGAAGGCAGGAGAGGGUAGUGGAAUUCCGCGUGUAGUGGUGAAAUGCGUAGAUAUCGAGAGGAACACCUGCGGCGAAGGCGGGUUGCUGGGCUGAUACUGACGCUGAGGCGCGAAAGCGUGGGGAGCAAACAGG